rnacentral:lncRNA from 1 species
GAGGUGGUGCAAUUAGUCUGUCAUACUGUUCUGUGUUCACAGCAAGCUCUCAGAGCACUGAGAGCUCCAAUAGCCCAGAUUCCAAUAAAAUAGAAGGAAAAUGAGAAAUAAAAUGAGCUGAGAAGAUGAGGAAAGCAAAACCUAUACCCUGCUCAACUCUAGCACUGCAGACAUGGAGAUGGGAAGAAGGAAACCCAAUUUCUACUCUCAACCCAAAGAACUGGAUGUUGCAGAGACUCCACACUGGUCAUCAAGGAAAAGAUCUCAAUCAAAUGCAGCUUAUUUUUUCUUAGAAGAGUAUGGUUGAGUCCAUUACUGCUGAUCACAUUUCUUUGUAUAAUAUUUGAAGAGGUGAGUGUGUGAGGUUUUUUUUUCCCUUUCCCCAUCCUUUCAAAUAUUGGUCUUCAUGUAUCUGAGUAACUAAUUAAAAGAUGUUUGUUUGCUUGUUUUUUCUUUUUAUAUCUAGAUUUUGAGUAAUUACAAUAUCUAGGAUUUCC